rnacentral:lncRNA from 1 species
GGAUCCCUUUGCCUACACCAUCUGUCUCCUCGAUGCACAGUGAUCAUGUUGUGGGUUUGGGAUCUGGGUCGCCUUCGGUUUGUAGUUUUAGCUCUUCUGGUUCCUCCGAAGAUAAUCAGAUUCCAAAUGAUCCCGUUCAAUUCAUUGCCUAUAGGUGGCUUUUUUCCCCUUUCUUAACAUAAUUUGGAUUCAGAAUUUGAGAAAUUUUCAUUUAUUAUUAUUCUGAAUUAAUGGGAGCAGUCGCCAUGUUUUUUUGUUUUUCGGGUAGAAAGCAGUCAUUGAUUAAUUAUAAAAAAAAACUCUUUUUUCUCUUUCUUGGGUGUCAGUUUGAUUGCUUCUAUUUCCCCUUUUAUAUUUUUUUUUCAUAAUUUUAUCAGAAUAUCCCUUUGGGUCUGCCAUCUGCUAAUUUUUUUCAGCUUUUGGAACAGAAAUUCUCUCUCUAUUUUUUCUGUCAGAGUUUGUUUACUUUGGGUAUGGGUUCUCUUUUCCCUUUAUUUCGGUUAGAAUUAGAAUACAUGAUUUAUAUUUUCUCAAAAUUUGGUGUUCAAACCUCCCAAAUUUUGUUUUUGUUUACUAAAUUUAGGACGACUCUACUUUUUCCCCCAAAGGGCCAACCUUCUUUUGUUUUGGCAUUAUAACUCUAUCUUCUGUAAAUUAUUAACUACUUUGUUUCCAAAUUGAAGGUACUUCUUGAUUGAUAUAGUGUUGGAUUCUAACAUCUAUAAGCAAUAUAUAUCAUAACUCUAUAAUGAGCCAAAAGAUAAGAAUUGUGAUAUGCUAUUUAGCUCUGCAGACGGAGGUUAAGAGUUUCUGUAAUUAACUAAAAUACAGGUCAUAUAAUGACAUGAGAGGCCAAGGUGAAACUAGAAGCAACGUGAGGUCGAGAAGCCCUGGUCCGAGGUCGAGAGGUCCAACCAGCCCAACAUCACCGCUUCAUCAUAGAUUAUCUGGAGUGAGUCUCGAGUCUCCAACAGGGAAGAAGGAAGAUGGGAAGUCUGUGUGUCAUAAGUUGCCUCUUCCACCAGGUUCUCCUACUAGUCCUUCUGCCUUGCCUAACACAAGAACUAGUGGAGUUAGU